GACGAACGCUGGCGGCGUGCUUAACACAUGCAAGUCGAACGGAAAGACCCUGCUUUUGUGGGGUGCUCGAGUGGCGAACGGGGGAGUAACACGUGAGUAACCUGCCCUUGACUUUGGGAUAACUUCAGGGAACUGGGGCUAAUACCGGAUAGGAGCUCCUGCUGCAUGGUGGGGGUUGGUAAGUUUCGGCGGUUGGGGAUGGACUCGCGGCUUAUCAGCUUGUUGGUGGGGUAGUGGCUUACCAAGGCUUUGACGGGUAGCCGGCCUGAGAGGGUGACCGGCCACAUUGGGACUGCGAUACGGACCAGACUCGAACGUGAGGCAGCAGUGGGAAAUAUUGCACAAUGGGCGGAAGCCUGAUGCAGCAACGCUGCGUGCGGGAUGACGGCCUACGGGUUGUAAACCGCUUUCGCCUGUGACGAAGCGGGAGUGACGGUAAUGGGUAAAGAAGCACCGGCUAACUACGUG
rnacentral:rRNA from 1 species